GGAUAUGGCCAUACUGCGGAGAAAGCACCGCUUCCCGUCCGAUCAGCGAAGUUAAGCUCCGCCAGGCGAUGUUAGUACUGGGGUGGGUGACCACCCGGGAAUCCAUCGUGCUGUAUCCUCCC
rnacentral:rRNA from 1 species